rnacentral:rRNA from 1 species
GAUGAACGCUAGCUACAGGCUUAACACAUGCAAGUCGAGGGGGAAACGACAUCGAAAGCUUGCUUUUGAUGGGCGUCGACCGGCGCACGGGUGAGUAAGGCGUAUCCAACCUGCCCACCACUUGGGGAUAACCUUGCGAAAGUAAGACUAAUACCCAAUAACGCCUCUAGAAGACAUCUGAAAGAGAUUAAAGAUUUAUCGGUGAUGGAUGGGGAUGCGUCUGAUUAGCUUGUUGGCGGGGUAACGGCCCACCAAGGCGACGAUCAGUAGGGGUUCUGAGAGGAAGGUCCCCCACAUUGGAACUGAGACACGGUCCAAACUCCUACGGGAGGCAGCAGUGAGGAAUAUUGGUCAAUGGACGAGAGUCUGAACCAGCCAAGUAGCGUGCAGGAUGACGGCCCUAUGGGUUGUAAACUGCUUUUAUAAGGGAAUAAAGUGAGUCUCGUGAGACUUUUUGCAUGUACCUUAUGAAUAAGGACCGGCUAAUUCCGUG